GGGCCCUUAGCUCAGUUGGGAGAGCGCCUGCUUCGCAUGCAGGAGGUCGUCGGUUCAAAUCCGGUAGGGUCCA
rfam:Lactobacillus brevis ATCC 367, complete genome.